CAGCUAGCAGAGCCCGCCCAGGAAGUUGUGGUCAAUCACCCCAUCACCCUCGGCCACAUGGGCAAAGUCCACCAGCUUCACUGUUACCCCACCCCCACCUCCGCCUGCUGCGACUGCAGCAGCAUCAUAGCCCAGAAGAAUCGACGCCGAGUAGAAGUGGAACAGAGUCUGCCCCUCGAACCACGCCUUGAGCUCGCGCAGCUGUGACAAGACUCCACCUUUUCCUCCGUACACCGCCGCCGCGAGCGCGCAGUCCAUCCCCUCGUCGGCAAGCGGAUGACACGUAGCGCCGGAGCACGCGGCGGACGCCGACAAUGUCCAUAGCCUUCACCUCCGGGCGCUCCGUCCGCCACACGGCGCCCUCGGGGCCGACGACUCGGACGCCGGAGACGCGGAAUCCGAGCAGAACGCUCGUGGUCACGUGAUGGCACCGAUCUUGAUGUCUGCGACGCAGGGCGCCUCAAACCCCGCGAGGAGGUCGUCGAGGACGAGGUGCGGAUGCGGCUCCCCGGGCUGCGCCUCGGUGGGGAGGAGUCGCGUGCCGUGGAACCGGGGGAAGAAGGUGUCUCGGAUGCGGGCCGGGACGGCGGCGUGGGCGGAGAACGCCUCAUAGAAGGCGACCUCGUGCUCCCCACGGUCGCCGGCCUGGAGCGGCUUGUAGAAGAGGCCAGAGUCGUCGAUGAGUGGGCCCAGCUUGCUGGCGGAGGCGCGGUGACCGGCGACUUGGUGCUCCGGCGGGUGGAGGUCGGGCAUGGUAUGGGGACUAUGGGAGCAAGGGGUGACGGGUGGCGAUGGUGGAAGCGGUGGGUUUGCGGCGCAGCGGAGAAAGAGAUUUUGGGGCGGGGUGGUUGCCAAAGGCAGUCG
rnacentral:misc_RNA from 1 species